rnacentral:rRNA from 1 species
GACGAACGCUGGCGGCGUGCUUAACACAUGCAAGUCGAACGGAAAGGCCCUGCUUGCAGGGUACUCGAGUGGCGAACGGGUGAGUAACACGUGGGUGAUCUGCCCUGCACUUCGGGAUAAGCCUGGGAAACUGGGUCUAAUACCGGAUAGGAGCCAUUUUUAGUGUGAUGGUUGGAAAGUUUUUUCGGUGUAGGAUGAGCUCGCGGCCUAUCAGCUUGUUGGUGGGGUAAUGGCCUACCAAGGCGGCGACGGGUAGCCGGCCUGAGAGGGUGGACGGCCACAUUGGGACUGAGGUACGGCCCAGACUCCUACGGGAGGCAGCAGUGGGGAAUAUUGCACAAUGGGCGCAAGCCUGAUGCAGCGACGCCGCGUGGGGGAUGACGGCCUUCGGGUUGUAAACUCCUUUCGCUAGGGACGAAGCUUUUGUGACGGUACCUAGAUAAGAAGCACCGGCUAACUACGUG